UUUUAUGGAAGCUUCGGUGGAAAUAGCUUGUUCCUAGUGGCGGACGGGUGAGUAACGCGUGGGUAACCUGCCUCACACUGGGGGAUAACAGUCAGAAAUGACUGCUAAUACCGCAUAAGCGCACGGGAUUGCAUGAUCCAGUGUGAAAAACUCCGGUGGUGUGAGAUGGACCCGCGUUGGAUUAGCCAGUUGGCAGGGUAACGGCCUACCAAAGCGACGAUCCAUAACCGGCCUGAGAGGGUGGACGGCCACAUUGGGACUGAGACACGGCCCAGACUCCUACGGGAGGCAGCAGUGGGGAAUAUUGCACAAUGGGGGAAACCCUGAUGCAGCGACGCCGCGUGAAGGAAGAAGUAUCUCGGUAUGUAAACUUCUAUCAGCAGGGAAGAAAAUGACGGUACCUGACUAAGAAGCCCCGGCUAACUACGUGCCAGCAGCCGCGGUAAUACGUAGGGGGCAAGCGUUAUCCGGAUUUACUGGGUGUAAAGGGAGCGUAGACGGAGCAGCAAGUCUGAUGUGAAAGGCAGGGGCUCAACCCCUGGACUGCAUUGGAAACUGUUGAUCUUGAGUACCGGAGAGGUAAGCGGAAUUCCUAGUGUAGCGGUGAAAUGCGUAGAUAUUAGGAGGAACACCAGUGGCGAAGGCGGCU
rnacentral:rRNA from 1 species